rnacentral:rRNA from 1 species
AGUGAACGCUGGCGGCAGGCCUAACACAUGCAAGUCGAGCGGCAGCGCGUCCGACCACCCUCGGGUGGUCGGAUGGCGGCGAGCGGCGGACGGGUGAGGAAUGCAUCGGAAUCUGCCUCGUUGUGGGGGAUAACGUAGGGAAACUUACGCUAAUACCGCAUAAGCCCUGAGGGGGGAAAGUGGGGGACCGCAAGGCCUCACGCGAAUGGAGCGGCCGGUGUCAGAUUAGCUAGUUGGUGGGGUAAAGGCCCACCAAGGCGACGAUCUGUAGCGGGUCUGAGAGGAUGAUCCGCCACACUGGGACUGAGACACGGCCCAGACUCCUACGGGAGGCAGCAGUGGGGAAUUUUGGACAAUGGGCGCAAGCCUGAUCCAGCCAUGCCGCGUGC